GCCUCCUCCUCUCAUCGCUCGAUUCCUCCUCUCCUCCCUGCCGCCGCUGCCUCCUCUUCUUCCCUAGACCAUGCCUCCUCCCCGCUCCUCGUUCUGCCGCCUCCUGCUGCUCCCGCACGGCAGUCGUCUUCCAUCCGGCGUAUCGCCUAGCGGAGCAAAUGGCGGAUCUGCCACCUCUCUCCUCGCCGGUAAGGAGCAGCCAGACUGGUGCUGGGGAGAGCCGGAGACGGGGACAAGAAGCAGCAGUGGUCGGCUCCCGCUGCGGUGGAGUGGAGCUGUAGGGAGAGGAAGGAGGCCGGCGACAGGGGAAAAGAACAUGCCAGCUCUGGUUCGUCAUGGAGAACACAACUGCUCGCCCUCCUCUGCCUCUUCUUCUCUGGUCCAUGGAUUCGUUGUGGGUCUCUAUUGGUGGUGUUGGGGAUUGUAAGGCUUGUUCCAUCUGGUUUUAGGAGUGUGUGUUGCUCCUAUAAAAAUUUCUCAGAUUAAGUGGUCUGCUUGUACUGUUUACAUCACUAGGCUGAGUCCAUCAUUGGUGGUGGUUAUUGUCCAGGUUUGGCAGCAAAUCAACUACUCUGAAUGAGGCCAUCCACAGCUUCUCAGGAGUAACAUGCAUACGCGAACACAUUGAUCCAAGGGUUAUGUUUUGUGUAUUCUAUUUUCGUGGGCUAUGCUAUGUGUUUCAGUGCCAAUGACUCAACAGUCAUUUAUCAAUCAGUGUGUAUUUUGUUCUCAUCAGCAAUGAUGCAUAUACAUGUAAGUGGCGAUGGUGAUAUGGUUCAGACAGAUAUUUUAAUCAUUUCCUUUUCUUGAUCAAUUUUAUGCUUCCAUCGAUCUACAGUAAUAUAGAUCACAAACCUGACACUUCUAGGUGGAACUUUGGUGUGUAAUAUUUAUUUCACAGCUUCAUUGUUCAUUGUAGCAAUGCUGGCCGUCAGGGAAGAUGCUGUUAAGCACAAAAAUUCAGUGCUCGAAGAAGUCUGCUAUGCUAACUUGUGGGUUCAGAUCCUUAUUAUCAGAUCGUGUCACUCUUUCGACUCCAAAACCGAUGAGCUCUGGAAAACGCUUCAUCGCCUUAUGGCAUCAAGAUGCAUCUGCUCAUAUGAUUUCACAGUUUGGCAAGUACCAGAGAAUUUGUGGUUGACUGUUUACAUCCAAAAUCAUCGUGUUAGUACUUAGUACUGAAGCUAAUUUCUACAUUGUUAAUAGAGUUGCCUUGAUGUUUCCCGUACUAGAAAGAUCUAUCUAUGAUCUAUUUUCUAACCAUCUAAGACUGUAGUCAUAUAUACUCCAUACAGUAAAAAUAUAUGUUGUUGUCAGUUUGCUGAUUAUUUAUCUCUCCCAGCUUGUUUUUAUGUCUGGUCAGAUUGGAAAUGUAGCUUUAUGGGCAUGCAUGAGAUUCAUAUUAUAAUAAAGUUUGCCUUCAUACUAUAAAUCCAUUCAUUGGAGCUAUAUAUCAUAUACAGUACCAUUUAGGCUGGUUCAUGAGUAAAAUGUUGUUUUUAAUAAAUUUAAGGUUGUUCCUUGUUUGCUUUUUGUUUGCUAGCACUAAUGCUGAUGUAAGAAAACAAAGUAUAGUUCAUAUUUUAAAUCAUUUAUGUCCAUAUCGUCUGAUGCUAAUUUAUGAACUUUAUAUGGUUUGGUCUAAACGAUAUCAAUAAAAUAAUAUACAUUGUGGAAAUUAAAUAAAUCCUACAAAUCGAAUUAGGAAACUAUUGUUACUGGGAUUCGACGAGGAAAAGGAGACCCCGGAGGAAGUUACUGCGUCGCUGUGGUGGCUCGAUCGAUGCGGAUUUUAAUGUUCAUUGUUUUGAUCUCGACAUGGAUUCGAUAGUGGAGAAUUGAUACUCGGGAUAGAGAAAUUGUUAUUUGUCUUGCUGAUUUUUUUAUUUGGGCAUGGAUUUGAGAGUGGACAAGGCCUGAUCAAGUCUCCAGACUCAUGAUUCUUUUUCAGUGUCAAUCAAUGGUUUCCUUAAUUGCAAGACAACGAAUCUCCGUGUUAUUGAUCUGGUACAGUGUUGUUGUGCGUGAGGACGACACAUGGAAAUGUGCAACAAGGCAGUGCUCGCAUUGCAGUGGACUGGAGUCCGCCAUCACCACCGACCAUUGCUCGCCGAUCAUCGUCCCUCAUCCCCCGUCUAGAUGUUUGCGGAUCAGGCGAAGAAGAGAGGAAGGAUCUUGAGGAAGAGUCAGGAACAUGGUGAACCUCUUGGCCAUCGCAACCCGACGGCUUAGGCGACAAUGAACAGGGGUAUUUCUAGCCCAUCAAUCUACAGGGCUCAGGUCCUGCACAUGGUGUUUGCUAGAGAAAAUCAAAAGAAGCAACCUGAAUGUCAAUGGGGUGAUGGCAGUGACAUAUUUAACACGAGGUGUUGCAUCUAGGUUCUACGGGAUUCGCUCAUGGAUGUGUGAAUGUGAGAAAUCAGGAUAUAAAUUUGUUCCAACAACAAGACAUGCUGAUUAGAUUCAGGAAUAUGUUGUUACAUGUCAGCUUUGCAGCUUCCAGUUGUAGGACUAAUAUUUGGCACCUGACAUGAGGUUGAGAAAUACCAUGCUUUAACUACAUAUGACAUGCCUUGUGCAGGGCACAUAAAAUAUAUCUGAUAUCUCUUUUUUGUUA